GGAACACCGCACACUGGAGCGGGUGGGCGAGCCGCGUCCCCGCGCUGGCGGCACGUGCGCAGAGGCUGCGCGCCCAGGCGCCGCCCCGCGCUGCCAGCUCUGCUUCCUUCUCCCGCCGGAGCUCCGGGGCCGCUCUGCAGCCCCCGGGGUAGGGGUUCAUCUCCCGGGCCUCCCGUCCCAAAAGAUUCCAAAUUCUCCUCAAUCAUUUAAACUUUUUCCUGGGCCAGAGUACCCUGUUUGUAUUGGCUUUGUGAUUACUUCAUAAUGGAUCCCUGGAAAGAAGAGAAUUCUGAGAAAGGAUCAGUUCUUGGCCUGGAGAAGGGGGCUCUCCCAGUUACCAAGUAUGCUUGUGUAUUAAGUGAGGUUCAAGUCUGUACAGUGAUCUGUUAUUUUCAUGGAUGAUCAACCUCAGUGGUUCUCUGGUGGGCCCCUUCUUUACCACCAAGAAUGGACCCCUUAAUAAUCACAGAGAUGAGGAAAGGAAUCACUGGAAGACUGAAGUGCCAAGAGACAGAGGAUCACCCUCUGUGAGUGAGUUCCACUGGGAAGGACUACGCACAGAACACCGGCUAUCCAGAGAAAUAAUUCAAGAGAUGCUUUAAAGCUGAGUGGCCAAGAGAAUGUGGAGCACCCUGUCUUAUCUAGGUGACCAGACUGGGAGUCUAAGGGAGGUGUUCUCAUGACAAUAGAGCAAUGCAACUACUUUUGAAAAAAACACAAAACAACAAGGAAGGAUUAGACUCUUAACUGUGAAGGCUGAAGUCCAGUGAGUUGUCUGAAGAUAGAGGUAUUAACCUGGCACAUAUGAUCAGCCUGGAGUCUACAUAAACUGCAAUCUGAAGAGCGAGAAUUUGACAGUAUUUAUCUGCCAUGCCUUCCCAUCCCCAAAGUCAAAGUUUGGAUCCCUUGAGAAGUGUGGGAAGCACUGUUCAGUGUCUUCACCAUGGCCUCUGUCAACAACGUGGUGACCACGCCUGAUGACCCGUGCAUCUCUCUUUAGGGCAGAGAGUGGCAGCUCAUUCUCUGUGAAGGCCAUGCUUUCCAUCCCUGAUGCCAUCUGUAUUAGUUUAUCUUUGCCAAGGAGAUUUCAUCAGAGAUAGCUGGCACAAUAGCCACUGUCCCAGAGGCACCCCUCUGGUUUGUAUAGAGAAAAUCAGUGUGUUGGGGGAAAGGGAAGAAAGGAGAGAGACACUACAUCUGUCAUGUGCCAUAUAGUAUGCCAUUUGUUUUCCCAUACCUUGUCUCAUUGAAUCUCAACAUCAACUUGGCUGAAAAGAUACUACUUGAGACCCAGAGCGGUUAAGUGACUUAACUCUCUCAGAGCUGGGGUGUCAGAUAAAAGUCUGCCUGGCUUCAAAGUUAAAAAGUUUGCUAUUAUGGUUUAUCACCUUUAAAACACAGUGGGGGUGGUGGCACAAACCUGUAAUGCUAGCACUUGGGAGGCUGAGGCAAUAGGAUCUCCACUUUGAAGCUAGCCUGGGUCAAAUAGCAAGUUCAAGGUCAGCCUAAACUUCAGUUCCCUGUCUUAAAAAUAAAACAGAAUAACCACAAUAAAAACCACCACCACCAACAACAAAAAGACUGGGGAGGAAUACAGUCUCAGACCAGAGUUAAGUUUUGCAAAGCAAGGAUACAGAGAAACUGGUCCCAGAUGCUUUUGUGUUUCUAUUUUUUCCAUUUUUUUUAAAAAAGGACAUAAUAAUUAAUAUUGUUUUAGACAAAGAGGGGAAAAUACUCCUUCCCCUUUCUCUUUCUAUUCUCUACCUUUAACUUUGAGCAGAGUAAGCUUCCUGAGAGAUAUGCUAUAGUCAGACAGAAGAGCCUUGAUACAGAAUAAAAUGGCAAAAGAUACACCACAAAAGAAGAGCUAAUGCUUUCAGUAAGUCCUUGUGGAUAGAGGAUGCAAAUUUUCUCAGAGCUUCCUGGUAGCCAAGGCAAAGGAGAAACAUCUGGUGUUAUCUGGCUUUCAUUGUCAAAUAAGGAAAAGAUUACUACUACUACUAUUAUUAUUAGAAAUGAUAACCUUUUAAAAUUACUCUGCGAGAAAUUUCUCUUUUAAGUUUACCCAAAAGGGACCUAAAUUAGGUAAGUGAGAAAAUACUAGAGGAUAGUUUAAGAAAAAGCUAAGAUAAUUUGUUUUUGUGUGUCCAUUGCAGAUGUGUCUUUGACAGGUGACACUGGCAGAGGGAAGAAAUUUUUUGUUUAUUGAAUUUGGCACAAUAACUUUUGAGAGUUUGAUCAAGGAAAAUUUUUUAUUGAAGACCUUUAAUUGGCUCCUUCUAUCAUAUUGCUCUGGCAAAGUCUCACCACUAUUUUUCAGAAGUGAAAGUCUUUUUAUUUCCCCCUGUCCUACCAUAUUUUGGAUAGAACAUUCCUGAGAUGAGGUUCUGUAUAGGCAGCUGAAUUAGACAGAAAUAUUAUAGGCAGUCAGACAGGGCUGGGCCUUCGAAGAAGCCAGUGCACAAAACCAGGUAUCUUGCAACCUUGGAGGAGACAGACACCUCUGCUUGUGGCCUGAUCUCCACACAAAAGACAAAACAAAUGCAACCCCGCCCUAAGUAUAAACAAUAGGGAUUGAUAUUCUAAAUAGGUAUCAGUUACCUUGAGAAGCCAGAAGGAGCCAAUAGUCCAUCCCCUUACCAGCAAAGACUCUAUUCUGUGUUCAUGCCCACUUGCUAUGGGACUCACCUCCCCAUUUGAUCCCGAUUUAAUCAAUUUUACCUGAGCAAUUACACUUGUAAACUUACUAGCUGACCAUAGCUCUGUCCCACCUCAUGCCCACCUGUUUUGCGAGUUCCCAUUUUUCCCCAUCAUAGACCCAGCUCACCUCAUGGUUUUACUCCGUAAAAAUCCUUGGAAAAGGCAUGAUCCUCGACAUCCCACCCAGGGCCCCUUCUGCCUCUGUCUUGGACAGAAGCUUUCUUUCUCCCAAUAAAUGUAUUCUACUCUUAACUUCCAUUGUUCCUAAAAUUCAUUCUUUGAUUUUAGAGAACAUGAGAACUCGUAUUGAAUAUCUAGUAGGUUGGGAGUUUCUUCCCCUACAUCAGUUCCACAUUGGCUCCUUAUAUUUGAUGUAAAAUGCAUAUGCAUGUGUAUACACUCAGAGAACAUUUAGGAUCUUUCCAUAAGGGUGAGGGUGUUUUUUUGUUUUUGUUUUUUGUACCAGGGAUUGAAAUCACAACCCUUGUGCUUGCCAGGCAGGUGCUUAUGCUGCUGAGCUAAAUCCCCAGCCCCAUAGGUAAGGUUUUGAGAAUGUUUUAUACUUAUAUACUGAUGACUAAUUAUCUACUUGAGAAAUUGCAAUCAAGCAAGUCACUACAGUGAUACCCAUUCCACCAUGACUUACAUCUGAUCUGUUAAAAGUGUUGGUCUUUCUCAGCUUUGGUCCUUGUUGCAGUGUCAAAAGUCAACAUUCCUGACAGAGUCCUCACUUUUGACUGGAAUUUUCUGUCUUCCUUUCCAUCCUUAUUAGAGUCUCAAGACUAUUAUUUUUUUCCUCCAAAUUUCUGCUAUAUAUAAAAGCUACCCAGUGGCAUUUUCUACAUGUAUUCUCUGAAGACAGCUUCUGUCUGUAAGAUUGUGUACCUCUUGCAUUGCACUGGGAUCUGAUUUGUGACGUGUAUGUGGUGCACGUGUGUGUUUGUGGCACACAGAGUAAGUUUUUAAUAAAGUUUUCAGGAGGACAGAGAGGAGAUUGUGUCAUAACAACAUAAAUAAGUUUAGGACUGACUUCCAGUAAAUUUUCUGUGAUUGUGAGGAAUGUGAUUGUUGCAAAUGCAUUAUGGAGGAAUGAAAUUUUGUUCCAUUCUAGAAAAAUACAAAACACAAGUUGAUAUUAAAAGAAGAGACAAAAAUUGUCCAGGUUCCCUAAAUUUGAUGCUUUUGAAUUUUUCUUGCGUUACUUUUCGGAAGGACAUUUAAAAGACUCCAAGAGGAGUCGGGGGUUGGGGAAGACACACAUAUCUCUUUCCAGCAGCUUUGCCUGCAAGGUCAUGUACCUUGAACUUGCAUUUGACUGUAGUUGCUCUCUGUGUUACUUUUAACUCCCUGGGCUUCAGGCAGCUGCCUUUACAAAUAUCAGAAAAAUGAAUCCAGCAGCAAGUUAUCAUAUCUCGGUGGUCUCUACAAUGUGAUAGAGCCGCAUCUAUUAACAGGCUAUGACAAAAUCAUUUGACCAAAAUUACCUUCACAUACAGCGCUUUGCUUUCAGCCCUGAAGGACUUCUCUUUUUCUCUGUAAAUACUCUUAACUUCCCCCAUCUUGCCCAGAAUUUUUAUUUAAAGCUGUUAGACAAUUUAUUAUCAUCAUUAUUAUUAACUAUUCACUUUUUUAGAGGAAGAAGGGGACAGAUGGUUGACAUUCCUGGAAGAGCAGAAUUUCUUUUGCACCACACCUUCAAGAUCCCCCAGCUUUGGUGGUCUCCUUUUUUUGGUCUGCAACUCAAACUCCCCACUUUCCUGGUCAGCCUGUGUUUGCCUUAAGUGGAGAGUACUGGUAAGAGGCGGUUUGCAUUAGGUGCUCUUUUGAAAGCCCAGCUGCUGGGGUGGGUGGGGGCUGGGGGUGUGGAUACAGACCAAGCUGUGAAGACUCUGCGCUGCUGGUGUUCACGCCUACCUUGAAUGGUCUGCCCCUCAUCUCCAAGGGGAUACUGGGGACAGGAAAGUAUUUUCCAAGCUGCAUGUGCAUAUCAAAUAAGACUUCCUGGUGGAUCCUUCUAAGCCAUUUCUGCAUAUCAAAGAGGGUUUAUUUAACUCCAUUAGUUAAGUCAUCAGCUUCAAAGGAAAGAGACUUUUUACAGGUGUGGAACUCUUUAGAGAGGACUUUCCAUUCUCCUGGUGCUGAGCUGACAACAAAGUUCCCACCUUGGUUGCUGUGCUAAUUCAAAAGAUGCUUUGUUGUUCUAAAAACAAACACUUCAGGAAGAGAAAUAUUCACAGAAUAGUGUGGAACUGGUGUGAGUGAUGGAGCGAAUAUUUUUCUUCCCCUUAGCAGAUACAUCUUGGCAAUCAUAGUUACAACCCUUAUCACUGAGUGACACCAAGCCUGCUUGGUGACUUUGCAAGCCUGCUUCUCCAGUUGGCCUACACAACAUACCCGAAGUGAUCUUUCUAAUCUAAAAGUCCUAUCAUGUUAUUCCCUACUUGUGAGCUUGAAAUUCUUCACGGAACUGUAGAAGGUUGUACUGCCUUUAUAGCAUGGCAGAGAAAUCUUUCAUGCCCUGGCUCUUGCCAUCCUGUCCAUCCUUAUUGUGGCACAAGAAGCACACUAUAUAGACCAAUGGCUUCAAGCACUGGUGACUGAGCACCAAGCAGAAGGCCAAGUGUUUAGAAUUUGGUUUUCUUGACUCAAGAAGUAGAAGCUGUUAUUAUAUCCAUUGCAUAAGUAGGGGAAAAGGGACGUACAGAGGUUAUAUGACUUGUGGGAAGUCACUCAAUUACCAACUGGUAGACCUUGAGUCCCUCUCAGAUGGUCUGACCUCAGUCUGUGUGUUUGAACCGCAGGCUAUACUGCUUCUCCUUCUGAAUGUGAGCUGCUUCUGAACAUCACAUUCAUUGUCUCUCAUGACUGGAAAAUCCUAUCCCAGAUUUUCAAUGGGCUGACUCUUUUCCUGCCUUCGACUCACCUUUUCUGCAAGCCAAGCCAGAGCAAAGUUAGGAAACAAUCACACAGCCCAAUAAUGUGUGCAAUCCAUCCCUUAUUAGCUGCUUUCCAUCUUUAUUUUCCUGACUAGACUAUGAGCUUUUUUUGGAGCAAGAUAAUAUGUCUUUGUAUCACUGAUAUCUACUCCUGUGACUACUGUAUAACUAGUUGGCACUUAACCAAUUCUUGUCAAGUGAAAUGAAUAUAAAGGUGAAAGGCCAAGAGUUCGGGGGGGUGGGCGGGAAUGUGAUCUGUAUGACAUUUGCUUCCCUUACUAGAUAUUUGUCUGUUCUCCACUGCAGUUGUUCCCUGUGUAAGGUUUCUACGUCCCUCAGGGUCCUUGAGCUAUUUUCAAGUUUGCAAAAAGGCUAACAGAAAACAUUAUAUUUUCUUGAGUGAAGAGUUGGAAAUCUGUGACCAUGCUCAGGCCUGAGAAAAUAAAGAAAAAUAGGCCCUUUCUGUACAGCAUCUAGACUGGUUAGUGAUGUUCCUGUUAGUUAAGUUCUCCAUCAUGGCCUUGACUCAGAGCAGAGGUCCAGAGGAGGUUACUGUGGCUGUUCCGUGUAGCUCGUAGUGGACCCGCAUCUGUCGGCUAUUGUGGUUGAUACACUGUAUCAAUUUGAGAAGUUUAGAAGUUUUACUGAGACUCAGCGGGGUGCCAGGACCCUUACUUGUAAAUAUCUUCAUCUUGUGCAAGAGGAGAGCACUGAGAGUUGUGUUACACCUGCCCUGGGGGUGGCAGGGGGCUACACGGGCUGCCUACAGUAUGAGGGAAGAGAAGCCUUCUCUCCUUUUGCUCUGGCUGCUGCCUUGAAGUGCUGCCCCAGUGCCAUGCCACCUGCCUUGGAGCCAGCUGAUUAUGAAGUGAAACCACCAAAACGAGCUCAGGCCUGAGUGGGGGAGUAAUACAGACACACAGUGAAUGCUGAUUGGUGACUCAACGCGGCCUGAGAUGUCACAAGGCUGUGUGUGAUGUGUAUCAAAGGAAUGCCGCUGAUAGUAAACAAGUUCUCGGAGUUCCUAAGAAGGAGAAAGGCUGGAAGAAGAGAGGUUAGACCAGCAGUGUGAGAGGUUGAACCGCAUCUGGUCUUCAUCCUGAAGGCCGGAAGUCCUUGGGAGGUUGGGGGGAGGGUAUAUCAUGUAUUUCCCAAAGGUUUGCAGUAAAGCCCAGGGUGACAAUGAACAAAAGGAAAUGUCUGGGAAUCAGGCUGCGUACCACCUUAGAGGCAGUUUCUUUAGAACUCACCAUUACUUGUGAAGACCACCCCUGAAACGCACAGCAAACAAGGCAGUGCUGAUUCUGGAGAAGCGUGGUUGGCCUUGAGGCUGGAGAUGCCACCAAGUUCUGUGGGAAAAGUGAGGGUCCCACACCACUGGAUGUUUCUUCACCUUCCUUUGUUUCUACUGCCUUUAUAAACAAACAAGGUAAACCAAUAAACAAGAAA